CGCGCGCCCUGCACGCGGACGCACACCCCGGACAGGAACCGCCUCCAGCGAGCACCGCGUCCCAGUGUCCGCCCCCACCCCCGCUCUGGCGCAGCUCCAGCGCAUUGGACGACCUCCGCGGCAGCGGCUGGCUGACCCAGUGCUCCAGGUGGUUCAUGCUUUCAACCGGCCGGAGCUCCCUGCUUGGGGCAGUUACACCCUCUACCUCUACUGCAGCAGCAAGGACGCCCCCUCGGCCCCACACCCCGCACAGCCACAUCGGAGGAGGGAGACCCUGCUGCAGCUGCCUUGGCUCUGACGCCGAAGCCCAGCCCACUCGUCCAAUGCCCUGGGCUGGAGGCCCCUGACCGCUCUUCCAGCUCCAUGCAGGAGGAGCAAGAAGGCGCCAGGACUGGACACAAGGGGCAUUCAGAUAGAGCAGAACCCCCAGAGGGCAGGGCUGCAGUUGGGGUGAGGAGACCUGCUCCUGGGAGAGUGGACCAGCCCCUCAACAAUGAAGGUAACAGACACGUGUGACUAUGGCAGCCCCUGCAAGGGUCACUCAAACUGCCCCUCCUAGGGAUGCGGUGGUCCCAGCAGGCAGCCACGGGGUACAGCAAGCUAAGACAGCAUGAGUCAGGGGAGGGGCUUCGGGGCCCAACGCCAAGGCAGAGCCUGUGUGGGCCAGGCCUUGGGAAGGGGUCCCACCUGCCACUCCCUAAAGGCAGACCCGAGAGGUGGGGACCAGGCCUGCAGGUAUUUGUCUGGGUGGCCUUGGGAAGCCCAUGCUGUGCGUCGCGAGAAGCAGGCAUCUGAGCCCAACUCCAAGCCUGUCCCUCCCUCUGGCCCAUCCUGCUCCCCCUUGGGCCAGGGCCCUGGGGCUGUGGCAGGCAGUGAUCAUACCUGGUCACACUUACAAGCCCAGGUUCCUAGCACAGCUCAGCCAAGCUGGCAAGAUGCUCUGGGGAGUCGGUGGGAAGCUCCAGGGGACACCGGACCCCGGGAAGGGGUCAGUCACUGGGAAAACAUCUCAGGCACCAGCGCCCCCCAGUCCACACCGAGCAUGCAGCAUCUGCCUACAGUGGGCUCCCACUAUUAGACGCUGGGGCUCCCAGGCCACAGCCUAUCCGGACCUUCCAGAGGCCACACACACUCCUGAGACCUCAGGACAGGGACCCAGGGACGAAGGGAGGAAUGACAUUUCCAGCCCACAUCAAGACAAAGAACACACUGGAGGCUGAUUCAAGGUAAGUUGUCUUCAGAGACUGGGGUCCGGGAUAUGGGAAAGACACAGUGAAGUUUAAUCGGGAAGCCCAACCUCCUGUCCUCUGCCGUAGCUGCAACCAUGGAGACGUCUCCAAAUACGAGGGAGGGGGGAGACCCUACCCACAGCUCCGCCUCCCAGCCCUCCUCAUAUCCACUGGCCACCCAGGACCAGAAAAGCAGGUAGAACCCUGAGAAUUCCAGGUGUGGGGUCACCAGCUUCCACACCCGUGCUCCCCAACCCAAUACAUGUCCUCCCGAGGUGGGCAAUGCCUGACAGCAUGGCUGACACUCGGGACUCCUGCUCAGCUGCCAUGGCUCCGAUGGCCCAGCGGAACCCUGGGGGUCGGAGAGGAGCCAGGGCAGUGUGUGGCAGCACGAGGCCCCGCUGCAGACACAGACCUGCCUUUAGAAGCAGAAAGGCAGCAGAAGGGUGUUCCCAGCGCGGCGGCCUGGCCUGCACCCAGCUGUGCUGCCCCAGCAGAGCCACACCCAGGUUGAGAGGGGCUUGGGUGUCAGGGCCCUCACUGGCUCUUCACCAGGACCCUGUAGAGUGAGAAGCUGAGGACAGCGGCCACGGCAGCCCCGACAACCCCCAGCAGCCCCCGGAGCCAGAAGGAGGAGGAGGGACGCAGCUCUGUGUAGACCAAGUGUCUGCAAGAGAAAGAGCCAUCUGCAGAGGCCUCAGGCAUGUGCCCCCCGCCCCCGUGCCUGCUGUGGGGCACCCUCCCAUGUCCUGGAUGAUCACAGGGCCCCACAGGCAGGGUUCCCAGACCAGGCCACAGAGGGGCAUGCCUGGGCACUGGCUCCCUCUGCCACACAAAGCUCCACCCCGCAACCUUGGCCCUAGUUGUAGGGCUGACGCCACAGCUGCCCGCUGCCCAGACCCCAGGGCUGUGCUGCCGGGUACCCACGGGAAGGCGGCCAUGGUGGCAAGCUGGGUGAAGAUGACAGCGCUGGGCUCGGCUGGGCCGGCACAGGAGAAUGGCACCGGAGCAGGCAGCCGGUGCUUGCGGCAGAACUCGGCCGGCGACAGACCAGCCGGCAGGACACCUUCGGGCAGGUCCGCCUUGGAGGAGACGAAGAGGCAGGGCGUCUGCCCAUCCAUGUAAUGUCGCUGUGAGCAGAGAGCAGUGUGAGGUCCAGUCCUGAGGUAGCUGAGGCACAGCUGGCGGGACGGACCCUGCCUCAUGGCCACAUGGGCCCUGCAAGACCCCACCUUAUAGACGCUGGCACAGUGUGCAAAGGUCUCUGGGUGACUGCCAUCAAACAUCAAGCAGGCGACGUCACAGGCGGCGUCCAGCGACGUGGCCAGCAGGCCCUCUGGGCCCACCUCACACAACUGGGACAGAUGGUGACUUCAGGGAGGGCCCCUGGGGCUGGGUCCCCCAAGGGCUGUGCUGGGCCUGGGUCCCCGGGUCCACCCUCGGGCACCGGCCGGCCGCCCCAGCACUCACGAUCAGGUACUUCUCCUGCCCGUUGACCUGCACCGUGUCGAUGGUGUAGCCGGGAGGCUCCUCCCUGGGGUCCUGGUGCUAAGGGAGGGGAGGCCCUGAGACUCGCUGGCUCCCCAGAUUGCCCUGCCCGGCCACUGGGGUGGGGGAUGUAGGGUGCUUACCCUCAGGCUGCGGCCGAGGAAGGCCUGCAGGAAGGCGGACUUGCCCACUCCACGGGCCCCUACCACCUUGCACAGGAGGACACUCCGCUGCGUCUGUCCCUUCUCCUGGUCCAGUGUCUUCUCACGGGUGACUGUGAGGACGGACCCAGGUUAGGGUGGCUGCCAGGGUGCUGAGCCCAGGCCCAGGGAAGGUGGGUGCCUACCUGUGAUGGCGCGGGUCUGGGAGUCUUGCUCGCAGAGGGUGGGGUAGCCCAGGUAGCCCAGAUGCCCGAGGCAGCUCCGGACGUCCAGGUAGGUCACCAGACUGGGGGUGGGCGGGAGGCACAGCGUUAUGGUGGGGAGGGUGGCGCAGUGGGGGGGCGUGGUGCGUGCCUUGCUUACGUCCACUGGCAGAGGUAUCCGUGCAGAGGCAGCCGGUCGGCCUCCGUGCGGACCGUGCGCGCAAGCUCAGGGCCCCAGGGGGCUGCCGGGAACACACUGAAGAGGCUCUGCAGCUCCACAGGCGAGAGGGCGCCGUCGCGGUCCUGCAGGGGAGGGGAUGUGGUGACGUGUGUGGGGAAGUGGGGGGCAGGGGAGUCGCCAUGCUCUUACCUGAUCGUGCUUCUCAAACACCCUCUGCACAAACUGGUAGCCGAGGUGGCUGAGCUCAGUGCUGCAGCCGGGGGGCACGUGGAGCCUGCGGAGAAGUGACAGCGCCUCAAGUUCCCAGGAGACUGUGCCCCAGUCUGUCACCCUGCCGGCCUCGUCUGUGCAGUCAGCCCCUCCCUAUAGGACCCAGAUGCUGCUGAGCGAGACCUCCCCUGACCCUCAGCCCCAGACCCACUCACGGAGGAAAGAGGUAGUCGGCCGUCAGCUCCAGUGCAUCACUGUAGCCAAAGUGCCUCAGGAUGGUCCACGUAGUCUCGUGCCGGCCACGCUGGAUGAAGAGCGUGUUCAGGAAGAGGAAACCUGCACUGAGACAGAAGAGUGGGAGCACCAGGCGCAGCCCCCUCCCCACACCCCCCCAGCCACGGCAGGCACCAGCCCUCACCAUCCAGGGUCAGCCGGCCGUCCCACACACCGCCAGCCACAUGCUUGCACACCACCAUCUUCACGUCCUCCAGGGCCUGCGGAGCCAAGGGGUGCCCGAAACAGGAUUUCUGCCUCCGAGAAAAAGUUGCCAGGAGUCAGCCAGCCACCCAGAGAUGGCCCAUUCCGUCACUAACAGCAGCGAGGGCGGGGGCUGGGGCACACCUGGAAGGCGUUGAGCUCCUCGUCACUGAGUGCCUGGUCCAGGUCCUGAUCUGAGAGCCUGAAGAUGCGCGUCAGGGCCUGGGUGCACGCGGGCCUCAACUGCGGGGAAGCUGGCUCAGCACCCUCAGGCAGCCUGCGCCCAACCAACACCCCCCGGGCUCCUGGGGACCAGUGCAUGAAGCCCCCACCGAUGGCCUACCUGCUUGGCCUCAGGGUCAUAGAGGGGGGCUGUGGGGUGCAGGACUGCCUUCUGGGCAUAGUAAAACAGCUCUGAGAUGUUC